AAUGCGAUGAUUUAAAAUCGAAGCCAGUAUUUAUUUACAGUUCACAGAUUACAGUCUAGUUUCCAGCUUGGGAAAAUCGUCUAGUAUAUUACAAAAGCAAAAGCUCUUCAAUCAAUUAAAGUUUAGAUAAAAUUUUUAUUUCAUCUUUUGCUAGUUACUCCACCAACACCACUCCAACCUUUUGCUUUCCUCCCUCAGCCAACCACCACCACUAUCUCCAAUAUCUCCAAUGAUUUAACUAUCAACUCCACCACCACUUGCUCUCCACCCAACAAAUGCAAUAUUCACUCUCAUUUCAAUUUCAUCCAAAAGUUCAGAGGAUCAAUUCCAGUUCAGCCGAAACUCUCAAGGUAAUGCUUGGUUUCAAUGCUUUCUUCUCCUUUGAUUAAGUUCAUCCUGCAAUUGUUAAGCAAAUAAGCAAUUUAUUUCAGUUUCUAUCCACUGAUUCAAACACCACAGCAGCCAACAUCAAUUACAAGCCUAAAUUUCUCAUUGAAUUCAAUAGCAACAAACAGCCACCAACACCAAGCAUAGCAGGUCAAGCGCGAGAGUAAGAACUACACAAGGAGUUAGAGUACCUUAGCAAAACUUUGCUAUCAGGUUGAGUUGUGAUGGGCGAUGAAGUGUUGCUGAGUGGAGUUUUUGUUGAACUUAAAGUAGGCUCAGAAAGGAUACAUGUCUUCAUACAUGUAUCUCAGUUAUGCAUUCCGCUGUAAACACUGAUUAUUUCAGUUACA